rnacentral:rRNA from 1 species
UACGUAGGGUGCGAGCGUUGUCCGGAAUUACUGGGCGUAAAGAGCUCGUAGGUGGUUUGUCGCGUUGUCCGUGAAAACUCACAACUCAAUUGUGGGCGUGCGGGCGAUACGGGCAGACUGGAGUACUGCAGGGGGAGACUGGAAUUCCUGGUGUAGCGGUGGAAUGCGCAGAUAUCAGGAGGAACACCGGUGGCGAAGGCGGGUCUCUGGGCAGUAACUGACGCUGAGGAGCGAAAGCGUGGGGAGCGAACAG